AAACAAGUGCUUGAAGGCAGUAUGCUUGGUAAAAGUCAUCGCCAUUCUCUAAUCUUGAGUACCCAGGGACACGAUACACUGCGGAAGGCUGCAGGGACCUCUGCCCAGGAAAGCCAGGCUUGCAUGAAGGAAAUGAUUUCCUAUGAUUCUGCUUACUGCUUAAAAAAAUUAAUCAAGUUUUCUGCCUGACAAGUGGUUUCCAAAAGGAAAAGCUUUGGGAGAUAGAAGUCCUCGUUUUGACCUCUGCCCUCCUUGUACACCAGGAGCCAGAAAAACUUCAUCUCUUUUACAAGAAACAUUGAGAUUCCUGUAAAAUUAAGAAAUCACACAAUUUGAUGGUCUACAUUAUCUAAAGCAAAUGAGACUUCUAUUUGGAACAAAGACUACCUUGUUGGGAAAUGAGUCUGCAAGUUAAAGUGUUUUCUGCUUCGUCAAUGUUCCUGCAAAGGACAUGAUGCUGACUUUGAAGAUGCAAGCUUCCACAUCUACAGCCUCAAGGAAACAAAUUCAGCCAACCAACUGAGGGAGCUUUCCUUGUCCUGCCUCAAGAUGAGAUCACAGUCUGCCCAACACCAUGAUUUAGGCCUUGUGACACCUGGGAUAAAAAUUUACCUGGAUGCAAGGCUAUUCAGAAUGAAGAUUAAUGAUAUGGUUUGGCUGUGUCCCCACCCAAACUUCAUCUUGAAUUCCCACGUGUUGUGAGAGGGACCUGGUGGGAGAUAAUUGAACCAUGGGGGCAGGUCUUUCUCAUGCUGUUCUCAUGAGAGUGAAUAAGUCUCAUGAAACCUGAUGGUUUUAUAAGGGGGAAUUUCCCUGCACAAGCUCUCUCUCUGCCUUUUGCCAUCCAUGUAAGACGUGACUUGGUCCUCCUUGCCUUCUACCAUGAUUAUGAGGCCUCCCCAGCCACGUGGAACUGUGAGUCCAUUAAACCUCUUUCUUUUGUAAAUU
rnacentral:lncRNA from 1 species